rnacentral:misc_RNA from 1 species
UGUGGGAGCGAGCCUGCUCGCGAUGGCAAAGGUACAUUCAAUAGAUACGUUGCUGAUGUACCGCUAUCGCGAGCAGGCUCGCUCCCACA